ACAGCCAUCGUUCCCAUCCUAUAAGCCUCUGCUGGCACCUCUCCCAGGUGGCUUCCCCGGGCACGGAUCUGCAGGCGUCAGCCCGGGGCCUCUCCCCUUGCACACUGACCACCACUUGUAACCACGUGUCUGACUUAUUUGCUCUCAGCCUGCCUUCGAGAGCACUGCUCUAUCUGGGGACCCAGAACCUGCCCUUGUAGAAGUUAUGAUGCUGCAGGACGGGGACAGCGGUGACACAGGCGCAGCUGCUGCAAGCAGGCACAGUCCUAAGCAGAACAGAGCAGGUGCUGGGAGAAUCUGUGCUUGCCCGUCCAGGUGGCGAGAAGGAAGGACUCGCUCCCCGACGUGCCGCAGACAGAACAGAACUCCCGCCCGCAGGCCUCCCGCCCUCCCUCUCCAUGCCCUGCUUGGCUCUGUUUGCUCCUAGAAGACAAGGGGCACGUACUGACACCAGAGAGGCUCAUGGACGGAGACAAAAGGACCUCAGAAGGCCAUCCGGAGGGAACAAGUCCACCCCAAACGGCCACCUCGUCAUGCACUGACCAGGCUGGCUAUCUCUCAUCAUUCAGGACUUCCCUCAGAUGACAUCACCCCAGGUCUUCUCUGACCUUGACAUCUGCACCUUGCAGUCACUUUACUGUUACGUUGUUUUCGUUGUAUUUGCUACUCUCAGAAGUGAUGUCGCCCAUCCAUAACCAGACCGCCUCCCAAGUAUACUGUCGUCUUCACGAGUCUGGUCUGCUGCAGGACUCCAUGGCCUUGCACAGCUGGAGCUCAGUAAAGCUGGGGGCUUCUCAUGACCAGUCGCUUAUGACUUCAUGGUUUCUGAUCUCAUUUUAUACUGGUGAGAGUCCGAGUUAGAGAUAAAACCGCUUACUUUCAACAGUUCACAGAAAUAAAUCCCAGAGCUGUAGACACUCCUAAAGCCAGCCAAGGAAGACACCGCUCUUGGCUUGCUGCUCUGAUGGAAGGGGACAGGAGCCCUUGGGAGCUCCCCUGGCGCACUCAGGCCAUCAGGGCUCCUGGGCUCCCGUGUGCAAGGUUGGGGCCUGGAUGGUGGGGUGGGGGGCAGUGGACAGAGAGGACAAAGUGACAGAGUGGGGAGCAGGGGCUCUCGAAUCUCAUGCCUGGCUUCAAAUGCUCACCUCGCCACUUACUGUGUGUGUGUGGCCUGAGAAAACAAGUGUCACCUCUCCCAGCUUCUGCUUCCUCCUUUGUAAAAUGAGGAUAACAGGCAUGGUGUGAGUGUUCAACAGGGCGAUGCCCACACAGCCUGUGGAGAGUGAGCGAUCUGGGCUGUUCUAUUCAUUACUGCAGCAUCAGCACCGCAGCUGGGGAAGCCAGACAUCCCACCCAGGAUCCACCACACUGCUGGCCAUACUCCGGGGGUUGACACAAUGCGAUCUCCCCCAAACUCCACUUGCCUUUACCUCACCACCAAAUGAGUAAAGGAACUUAAGGACCAGACCCGCUUCUUCUGCCAGAGACCCUUUAAGCCCAGAGGUCCUGGACCCUGCCUGACAUUAGAAUUACCCUUGAGCUCUUCUGGUUUUUCCUUUCA